rnacentral:lncRNA from 1 species
CUUUUUUCUUUUUGUCUGUUAGUCCGUUGGCACAGAAAUAUAUAUUAUAUAUAAAAAAAUUAGCUCUCUUCCACCAUGGAAUUUGGAAACAUACAAAAAAUUCUUUGGUUACAGGUUUAAUCAGGUUAAAAGGAAGAUAUUUCUAAACGAGGGAAAUGAUUUCCUUUUAAUGUCCAUCUUAGUAAAGGCUUCAUCAAACCCUUGCUAACCUAACCCUCCCACCAAGCUUGUUUGGUUUGUACAUUUCCUGAGCUUUGAGGAAACUGAAUCAGUCACUGAAACGUGUCAGUGCCAUGGCUGUGCGUCUCAUGAACUGGCUGUUUUAUCUUCUCAGCUUUUUCAACAUCUGGCAUGAUGUAAGGGGACAGAAGAGGAUUCUGGAGUUGCAGCAUGGUGACACCUUUUCCAUUGAUUGCUCAGACACCUUGCAGGGAAGGACUGAAUUGUACCUGUACAGAAGAUUGUCUGAGAAAACAUUGGUCCUCUUCUGGAAUGCCACGAACGAUGAACUGACAGUAACCACCACAUUCAGACACAGAGCAAAUUUGGAGCGCAACUAUGAAAACUUAAGUUUCAACCUUCAUCACAUGAUGGAAAAUGAUUCGGGAGUGUACUGGUGUACCAGUGGACUUGACGGGAAACGGAGCAACAGGUCUGCAGCACUGGUCGUGGUCAGUGGUGAUGCGCCAUGUGGUACAACCGGCCUGACUGAUGGAGAAAACGCAGAUGAAGAAGAGCUGUGAAAGGGCAAAUGCAGAGACCGCACCCACUGACUUCAUUUAUGAAGACAUGCAGAGAUGUCACAGGUCCAUGUAGAGGUGGUUGCCCAUCUUACCGGGACUCAAGAACAGGCAUACACAUCUCAAUGUUCCAUUAGUCUAAGUAAAGGUGUGGGUGGGGGGGAUCCCUAUGCCUGUAGAACAGAACAAUUUUCUGUUGUUUUUCAUUCACUUUAAAAAUGUAAUAUCAAUCUCACAGAUAUGUAUUUUAUUUGCUUACUUCCAAUUAUAUUUAGAGUUAGUGCUACGGUAAGUGUAAUUUAACAACAUUUUUGACUACACACCUCUGGAGAGAAUGUACUGUAGCAUUGUUUCUACAGUAUUAUGAUUUUAUUUUAUGUCAUCUAUAGAAUUUGACUGGGUCUCUUGCACAGGUCACAUUUUAUAACAUGGUGUGUUCUUGCUGUCAUCUUCAAUUUAAAAAUUGUUAAUGUGAUUUGUAUAUAAAAGUGCACUCUUCUGUACCAGAGAAUUUUUAUCACUUCGGGGUAACAUUUUUUCAGAUCAAAUUUUGCAAAAGUGAUCCAUUGUUCUCUGAAUAUUUAGUCCAUCUUUACAUAACUGAAUGUUUA